rnacentral:tRNA from 1 species
CGGCCUGAGCGCGGCGGGACGCCGCCCUCUCCGCUGGAGGCGGGGAGCGACGGCGUCCGACCCGUUGCCGGGCCGUCC